UAUCUGUAGGUGAACCUGCGGAAGGAUCAUUAUUGUAUAACCGAGGUGCGAGGGCUGUCGCUGACCCGAAAGGUCGUGCACGCCCGAGUGCCCUCACACACAUCCAUCUCACCCCUAUGUGCACCACCGCGUGGGUCCCCCUUUGGCUUGUUCGGAGGGGGGCUUACGUUUUCACACAAACUUUGUAUGCAGUGUAGAAUGUAUUUUUUGUUUUUGCGAUCACGCAAUCAAUACAACUUUCAACAACGGAUCUCUUGGCUCUC
rnacentral:misc_RNA from 1 species